rnacentral:rRNA from 1 species
GUAGGUGGCAAGCGUUGUCCGGAAUUAUUGGGCGUAAAGCGCGCGCAGGCGGUCCUUUAAGUCUGAUGUGAAAGCCCACGGCUCAACCGUGAGGGUCAUUGGAAACUGGGGGACUUGAGUACAGAAGAGGAAAGCGGAAUUCCAAGUGUAGCGGUGAAAUGCGUAGAGAUUUGGAGGAACACCAGUGGCGAAGGCGGCUUUCUGGUCUGUAACUGACGCUGAGGCGCGAAAGCGUGGGGAGCAAACAGGAUUAGAUACCCUGGUAGUCCACGCCGUAAACGAUGAGUGCUAAGUGUUAGGGGGUUUCCCGCCCCCCUUAGUGCUGCAGCUAACGCAUUAAGCACUCCGCCUGGGGAGUACGGCCGCAAGGCUG